rnacentral:rRNA from 1 species
GGACGAACGCUGGCGGCGUGCUUCAUACAUGCAAGUCGAACGAGAAGCUGACUUCGGUCAGUGGAAAGUGGCGGACGGGUGAGUAAUAUGUAGGAAAUCUGCCUUUAGGAUGGGGACAACAGAGGGAAACUUCUGCUAAUACCCCAUAUGAGCGUAGCUGAAAUGCUAUUCUUGAAAACUCCGGUGCCUAAAGAUGAGCCUGCAUCUGAUUAGCUAGUUGGUAGUGUAAUGGACUACCAAGGCGACGAUCAGUAGCUGGUUUGAGAGGAUGAUCAGCCACAAUGGGACUGAGACACGGCCCAUACUCCUACGGGAGGCAGCAGUAGGGAAUUUCGCGCAAUGGGCGAAAGCCUGACGCAGCAACGACGCGUGAACGAUUAAGCCAUUCGGGGUGUAAAGUUCUGUCAGUGGGGACGAAACUUGACGGUACCCACAGAGGAAGCACCGGCUAACUCCGUG